rnacentral:rRNA from 1 species
AACAGGAUUAGAUACCCUGGUAGUCCACGCCCUAAACGAUGUCUACUAGUUGUCGGGUCUUAAUUGACUUGGUAACGCAGCUAACGCGUGAAGUAGACCGCCUGGGGAGUACGGUCGCAAGAUUAAAACUCAAAGGAAUUGACGGGGACCCGCACAAGCGGUGGAUGAUGUGGAUUAAUUCGAUGCAACGCGAAAAACCUUACCUACCCUUGACAUGUACAGAAUCCCGAAGAGAUUUGGGAGUGUUCGAAAGAAAACUGUAACACAGGUGUUGCAUGGCUGUCGUCAGCUCGUGUCGUGAGAUGUUGGGUUAAGUCCCGCAACGAGCGCAACCCUUGUCAUUAGUUGCUACGAAAGGGCACUCUAAUGAGACUGCCGGUGACAAACCGGAGGAAGGUGGGGAUGACGUCAAGUCCUCAUGGCCCUUAUGGGUAGGGCUUCACACGUCAUACAAUGGUACAUACAGAGGGCCGCCAACCCGCGAGGGGGAGCUAAUCCCAGAAAGUGUAUCGUAGUCCGGAUUGUAGUCUGCAACUCGACUACAUGAAGUUGGAAUCGCUAGUAAUCGCGGAUCAGCAUGUCGCGGUGAAUACGUUCCCGGGUCUUGUACACACCGCCCGUCACACCAUGGGAGCGGGUUUUACCAGAAGUAGGUAGCCUAACCGUAAGGAGGGCGCUUACCACGGUAGGAUUCGUGACUGGGGUGAAGUCGUAACAAGGUAGCCGUA